rnacentral:rRNA from 1 species
CCUACGCGAUGCAGCAGUGAGGAAUAUUGGUCAAUGGACGAGAGUCUGACCCAGCCAAGUAGCGUGAAGGAUGACUGCCCUAUGGGUUGUAAACUUCUUUUAUAAAGGAAUAAAACGAGGCACGUGUGCCUUUUUGCAUGUACUUUAUGAAUAAGGAUCGGCUAACUCCGUGCCAGCAGCCGCGGUAAUACGGAGGAUCCGAGCGUUAUCCGGAUUUAUUGGGUUUAAAGGGAGCGUAGAUGGGUUGUUAAGUCAGUUGUGAAAGUUUGCGGCUCAACCGUAAAAUUGCAAUUGAUACGGGCAGUCUUGAGGACAGUGGAGGUAGGCGGAAUUCGGGGUGUAGCGGUGAAAUGCUUAGAUAUCACGAAGAACCCCGAUUGCGAAGGCAGCUUACUAAACUGUGACUGACAUUGAUGCUCGAAAGUGUGGGUAUCAAACAGGAUUAGAUACCCUUGUAGUC